rnacentral:rRNA from 1 species
UACGAGGGGGGCAAGCGUUGUUCGGAAUUAUUGGGCGUAAAGGGUGCGUAGGCUGUGCGGUAAGUCACCUGUGAAAUCUCCGAGCUCAACUCGGAGCCUGCAGGCGAAACUGCCGUGCUGGAGUAUGGGAGAGGUGCGUGGAAUUCCCGGUGUAGCGGUGAAAUGCGUAGAGAUGUGGAGGAACACCAGUGGCGAAGGCGGCGCUCGGGUCUGUAACUGACGCUGAGGCGCGAAAGCGUGGGGAGCAAACAGG